rnacentral:rRNA from 1 species
UGGGGAAUAUUGCACAAUGGGCGCAAGCCUGAUGCAGCCAUGCCGCGUGUGUGAAGAAGGCCUUCGGGUUGUAAAGCACUUUCAGCGAGGAGGAAGGUGGUGAGCUUAAUACGCUCAUCAAUUGACGUUACUCGCAGAAGAAGCACCGGCUAACUCCGUGCCAGCAGCCGCGGUAAUACGGAGGGUGCAAGCGUUAAUCGGAAUUACUGGGCGUAAAGCGCACGCAGGCGGUUUGUUAAGUCAGAUGUGAAAUCCCCGGGCUCAACCUGGGAACUGCAUUUGAAACUGGCAAGCUAGAGUCUCGUAGAGGGGGGUAGAAUUCCAGGUGUAGCGGUGAAAUGCGUAGAGAUCUGGAGGAAUACCGGUGGCGAAGGCGGCCCCCUGGACGAAGACUGACGCUCAGGUGCGAAAGCGUGGGGAGCAAACAGGAUUAGNUACCCUGGUAGUCACGCUGUAAACGAUGUCGAUUUUGGAGGUUGUGCCCCUUGAGGCGUGG